UUCUGGGAGGAUUGACAGAUUUUGAGCUCUUUCUUGAUUCGGUCGAUGGUGGUGCAUGUCCGUUCUAAGUUGGUGAAGUGAUUUGUCUGGUUAAUUCCGAUAACGAACAAGACUCUAGCCCAGUGGUUCUCAAAUUGAGGUCCGCGGACCCUUUGGGGCCCGCGAAGGCAUUUUAGGGGUCCGCGAAGCCCUGCCUCAAGCCUGGAUAUAUAAGUUGUAUACUUUUAGAUUAAAACAAACGUUCAAAUUUUGGUUGAAUUUGUUCAUGUGUAUGUCAAUGGGCGAAGUCUACUUUACACUGGUCAUUAGUUAUAUUCAUUUGUUCAAUCAUUAUUAUAAUUAACAUAUACAUUUCCCUUCCCCUCAUUACGAAUGGGGUCCUCCAUCAUCUCCGCCGAUCCACAAGGGGUCCGCGAAACAUCAAUGGUUGAGAACCACUGCUCUAGCCUAUUAAAUAGGUGCGUGGUUCUCUGCACCUUGCACCCUUCUUAGAGGAACAAGCGGCUCCUAGCCGCACGAAACAGCAAUAACAGGUCUGCCAUUUUAG
rnacentral:rRNA from 1 species